rnacentral:rRNA from 1 species
UACGGGGGGGGUAAGCGUUGUUCGGAAUUACUGGGCGUAAAGGGCUCGUAGGCGGCCAACUAAGUCAGACGUGAAAUCCCCAGGCUCAACUUGGGAACUGCGUCUGAUACUGGAUGGCUUGAAUUCGGGAGAGGGAUGCAGAAUUCCAGGUGUAGCGGUGAAAUGCGUAGAUAUCUGGAGGAACACCAAUUGCGAAGGCAGCUCGCUGGGACGUAACUGACGCUGAGACGCGAAAGCGUGGGGAGCAAACAGG